UCACGUUAUAAAAGAUUUACUGAUUUUCUCUUCUCAGUUGAAUAAUCUCUCUUGAUAUUUCCAGCCUUUAUCUUCUCUUCAAAGAAUGCUCUGUCCUAGGCUUAACUUUGCAAGGCACCAUGAUUGUGAACUGAGUUUCAGUUCUUCUGUAAAUCUCAAGCUCAGAUGCUUUAUUUGAUGUUUUUCCUGGAGAGCAGCAUCCCAUUACACCGCACACUAAAGGACAAGUUGGAGUGUUACAUGCCCAGAGGAAGGCCCAUACAAGUGUUUGGUUAAAAUCAACUUCAGAGUUAAUGCUUGGUAUUUGCUCUAGGACUAAUGGUAAUUAGAUUGAGCAAAGCAGGCAUGAGGAGGACAAUGCAUUCACUAAAGCGAUGACAUCAUGCGAGAGCACAGUAUUCUAAGUCCAGCCGAAACUAUCCCGCACGACACUGUGAUGAUGGACACAAGACCCUGCGCGUUUUUCAAAAGCCCAUUGAACUUUACAGCCCAGAGAAUGAGCCUUAAUGUAUGUAUUUCUUAAAUCUGAGACAGUCAUUUAGGAGGUCAGAGGAUCCUCGCGUGGAAAGAAAUCUACGACAAAAGAGUCUAACUGCAUUACAAAUGUGUGACGUAUCACUAAGGGAACUGAAGAAAAACCAUCUGAAAAUACCCAAGAAAAGUGUUUCUCCUGAGAGGACCAGGGAACCAGUGAUACACACGAAUACAGCCUGUAUCAGAAUCACGUGUGUAGCUUUUAAAUUCUAUGUUUAAAUACACGUGAAGCCAUCCCCACAGCUCAGAUAUUCCGUGUCAGUGGGUGUU
ensembl:lncRNA